UCCAGAUAGAAUCCCUUAAUGUUUUGCUUAGUAUCACCACUUUUCCUCACACAAACUGAUGCCCAUGAUUCGAUGGGUUGAUUUGACUUUAAUAAUCAUACAAUUUACAUGAAGCACAAUAAUUCAAUAUGGCUUUCAGGGGAGAGAAUCUAUUUUCUGAUCUCCUUUCUGUUCUUGUGAUCUCUUUUUCUUUUAUUGACCUGAAUGAAGAUGUAUGGAGUGAGAGUGUGUGUGUGUCUUCGGUUUCCUCCUGAUGGGGUAUAUCAGCUCCCCCCUCUUCUCCCUACUCCCCACGAUCCCCGCAAGGCUGAAUGGCAGGCCUCUGGAUUGGCUAAGUGAUGAAAUGAUGACCCUAUUAUGGGAAGCGAUUCCAAAAUGAGAGAUAUCAGACGAAGAUUACACCCCUCUCUCACUGCCACGCCAUCCUCCUGCAAUACACUGCCAGCUGCGCAGAUGAUGAUUGAUUCGCUUCAGAUGGAUCGCAGGAAGCACCCAUUGAUUUUUCUGUGUUUUAUCAAAAAUAUUUAUUUACAGUUGUAUCCAUAGGGUGUAUCCAGACUCAACCCAUACUUCGUUCUCCAAAUGGGGGUUGGUAUAAAAGGGAUAAUUCCCCCUGUUCCAUGACAAGACGAAUGACCUGAAGUAUUAUUUCAGAAAUGAGUCAAUAGGCUCAGUGAGUAAAUGAAUAUUGAUUGGAUAUAAUGAAGCCUGAGUGUGAAUAUGAGCCGUGUUGCAGACUUCACUGCAGUGAUGCUGAACCUCUCCAACUGAGUAUUUUGCAGACCUGCAUGCACAGCUGGGACUAAAUACACCUCAUUCAGAUGGUGAAUCAACACAUUCAACUUUUCCUGUGUAUUUUGAUUCAUGAUCUGAGAGUGUCCAUACUUGACUCGCUUCUUAUCAGAUCUAUGGCUAAAUAGCAUGUUUAUGGUGAAGGUACUAUAGGUGCCAUAUGGCAAUAAUCCAAGACUCAUGUUACUUAAAAGCUCUGGAGACAUGUAGGAGGCAUUUCUGUGUCACCUUUACAAAGGUAAACUGAUACAACAUACAAAUCAAAUGACAACUAGAAUGCUAAAACCACAGUGUGGGAGCUGUGCCCUAGAUAUUUGCACUGACUUAAUCCAAUUGAAAUAGUAUGAGUGAGUUGCAGGGGCUCCCAGGUCUGUUGCUUGCUUAUGUAUGUGAUGCAUAAUAGAAGUUGACGAGGUUGGUGAUAGAUCACAGCCCAGGUAAUGUAAACACAUUAAUCCCUCAGGGUUCAUGUGCAUGUUCUUUCUCUCCUUUUCUCUUAUAUCAGUCCCUCUCUCUCUAUCUGUCUCUCUCUUUCUCUCUCUUCAAGCCCCCAUCCUCCCCCCUCCACGUUCAUCAUCUUCCCUAAACGCGUUAGUGGAGCACAAACCAGAAGCAGCCUUAAUCUGUCAACAUGCCCUUUAAUUGGAGGGAGAAAACAACACGUGCUUCUGGUUAUGCCAUUCCUAAGUGCACAUGCCAAAGAAACACAGAGUUCAUGGAAGAAGUGAUCCCGGGAGAGCAGGGCAUAAUUAAAAGUAUCUUUUAAUAGGCUUGUAAUGCUGAGCCUGACUCUUGUUGCUUUAAGUAGAGGGCGAACUCUGUGGCUGGAGACGGACAUGCAAGGGGCUUCUGCUGAGGGAGCCUGUAAACGAUACAUUGCCUCGUCGUCAUCAGACAUGCAGUCUCUGCCUCAGUCACCACACUCGAGAUGACAGCCACUUUCCACCCCUGCCGCGGACACCUUGGCUUACCCGUUGCUGUGUUCUUUUGUUCUCAGAAUGAGAGAUUCUCCUCCACGACAUCACCUCUCCUCAUCUCCUUCCCAGCCACUUUGGCAAGUUGUGUUCUACCUCCUACUCACAGCUCCAGCGGGGAGUGAGAACUGGGACUAAGGGGUUGAUUUGGGGCCUGCUACACUGUAAUCAAAUGAGACUGCUUAGGGGAGAGGAGAAGGAGGAGGUGGAGUAUUAUGUUCUGUCGUGCAUUCCACUGCAGCAUUGUUGCUUUUUUGUUUUUGUCAGGGCAGGCUUUGAUGCUGUAUCCUCUUACCUUUGUAGUCCCGGUAGCCAUGUUUCAUAAACACGGAAUGGGAAACAUCCUCAGCAUUAGAAAUUUAGAUUGCUGCUUUCCUCCUGCCACUCUGCAUUCCGCACGUGCCCGGUCGCAUUCUCCAUCUCCCAUUGCUGAGGUAUUAAGUUUCCUCUCCCAUGCCUCUGAUACAUUUAAACAUCUUACAAUCAGUCCCUUUUAUUCGGUGUGUCAUGUAUAAUCUGCGGAAACAACAAUGCCAACAUGGCUCUAUGUUGCUCUCGCUCUCUUGGUACUUAAGAAGUCUGCUGUCACUGUUUUGUUUCAGGACAAUUGCACAUGCAAAAUGCUUACUUGCUUUAAAUUGAGAAGUUGCUAGGUAUUCAAUUUAGAACUUGUCUUCAUUAUUAAGAAUGUAAUAUUAAUGUCAAGCUAAGAAUUCUAUAGUACAUUGCUUUCUUUGUAUUUUCACACAGGGAAUAGGCAGUGCGUGGUUGUCUUUGUAGUUAACCGAAAGUCUCAGUGGGAUAACAGUGUAUUAUAAUCCUUAAUCUAUCUUAACUCAUUAAAAUGCAGUGUUCAGUUCUCCUGCCCAUAUUUUAUUGUCUCGUUGCAAUUUUAGUGACAUGAGAGAAAUUUCAUGCGUAAUUGAAUAUUUAAAUGUCAGACACUGACGAGAAUCAUUGCAAAAUCCUGAAAUUACUGCCACAUAUAGGUAUGUAAUAUACUUAAGAAAAAAAGUUAGAUAAGAUGCAAAUCUAUAUUUGUCAGCAGAAUCGUCCUCUGUAACACACUGUGCCUCAGUUCUCUCUUUUCUUCUACCUCUUCUUCUUCUUGGAAAGUAACCAUUUUGUCCGACAUCUGACACACUGCCCUGGGUUAUUGAGCCAGACGUGGAAAUCCAAAGCGGAGAUGCUCUCCUUAAUGCCUGACACCUGGUGCAGAUUUGGAAGGGAUUGCACUACAGGGUAUGCUUUACAAGUGGACGCUACUCUGGAGUGUUGCAGCUCACCUUACCGCUUGCAGUCACAUCUGCAGACUGUGCUGGAGCAGAAUGGCUAGCGAACAUAAACACAGCAAGGACAUCAAAGGCCGGCAGGCUGUGUCCAGUUCUGUCACUGGUCCUUAGUGCUCCAGCAGCCUGGUCAAAAAGACAUCCUGGCAGGGUCCCAGGGUGGAUGCAUCGCCCACGCACGCUGCUCUUGCCAGAUCCCAGAAGUCUUUGUGGUGAACCACUGACCGUGCUGCUCCCUAUUUUCUUCCAGCCCAGCAAAUAAUGUGUCAGAAAAAGAUUAUUGAUAGCCCAUAAAAGAAGAGGCAGAAUGUUGUUGCCGCUCUGCUCCAACUUUAAAGAACAAUACAAGUGCUAAACCAUCAGUUUCAAUGGUGCACUGCUCCUGAAAGAGCACAGCAUUUAUUUUUCACAUUGUUGUUCAGUUUGAAUAAAAGGUGCUACA